CUGCUGUACGGAACAAUUUCGGCUCUGAAAAAAAACCUCGAUUCUGGUGUCAAUGGGAAGUCGAGCCCUCUUUUAACUUUCUACGUUUCUCACAAAAAAAAUGCCGGCCGCUCUUUCAUGCUGUUGUAACAGACUACCCACUAACCACAACAUUUCUCUGUUGAGCGCGCAGUUCGAAACAACAAAUUCCCUCCAUCUCACUUUCUCUUGCAGAUAAAUAUAAGAUGUCCUAUUUAAAUAUUGUAUGACUGAGAACAGGAAUGAAUGGGAGUUCAAGACUGAAACAAGGGUUCCCAAGCUCGGACUACCCACUAAGCCUUUCAUGGUAAAUUAAACACGCCAUCGUUUCACUGUAUAUUUUUUCUCAUUUAUGUGUUUUUCUUGCUAUAUUUGUUCAAGACUGAUACACGGCUUCCAAAGCUUGGUGUGUAGGAGGAGAAGGCAGCAGGUACAAUUCAUAUUUAUUUACAGCUCUAUCAGUCUGUACUACAAAUCAUAUCAUCGUUUUACAGUCCUGUCAGUGUAUACUGGAAAUCGUAUAUGUUAGAUUUCUCACCUACUUGUGAACGUAUGAAAUAAUUUAUGCUUCCAGAUAUCAUUCUUUUCAUUCAUUCAUAAUAUUUCAGCAUCAGGAGCCCGCCAAAGGUGUGCAAUACAAUAAACCCUUAAAGAGUUGCAUUUAGGGUUAUCACACCGCCGCGAGUUAGAGAUUUAGGCAGCUCAGAAAACAUCGGCGCUAUGGAUUCCAUCAAGGAGGCGAAAUCUGAUGGACAGCAAAGUCAACUGGUGGAAGCAGACCCUGAGAAGCCCUUGGAAAAGCCACUGAUUAAGGCCAACGUUUUCAUUCCAUACAUGGUCGUUUUGAUUCCAAACACGGCCAUUUUUGUAUGUGGUGGAUUCCAUUACCUACUCGCCGCCAUGAAAGCUCAGGGCCUUUUUUCCAAUAUAUUUGUUGUGGGUGCUAUUGUUGUAUAUUUUACUGUGGUCUUAAUACUUGUGAUUAUAAGGCUCGGGGAACAGACCGUACAAUUUUAAUUGUUUAUUUGAAUUCAGCGGUAUUCGGCUAUUUGAGUUCCCUUGCAGCUCUAUACACUCUGAUCAUGAUGCCGUCAUGGCUUUUUACCACUCUUGGUUUUCCCACUCUAGUACUCACAGCUAUUCAUUGGUUUGUAUUACUUUCUGGGUUAAAGACUUUUUAACCCAUUCUGUAAUUUCACUGGAUAAUGUAUUCUCUUUUAGGCAGAAAUGGCCUGCCAGGCUGUAGCACUCAUAUGUUUUGGUUGCUUUUGUAUCCCCCUUCCAAGUAUCAGGAUGAGGCCAUAAUACAUAUAUACCGGUCCUUGUUUUCACAGGGAUAGACUUUGUUACCUGUAAUCAGAUAUUUGAGUAUAUUUCAAUAAUUGCUCUUAGACUCUGAGACAAGUGAAUGAACUCUAUUUUAAACCAAAUUUGCAGAAAUAGAUAAAUGUAUUAUAGCUCUC